rnacentral:misc_RNA from 1 species
CAGAGCUUUAGGCAUUUUCAUUUUUUUGCCACCAACAAAAUUGCACAGGUACAGCACCCCCAUAUUUGCAAUAUCCUGCUUCUCCUCUAAAGAACCUAUCUUCCCAUCCAAACCAGAAACUAGACACUGCAACUGCCACAGCUCUGAGCCAAUUUGUGAUAUAUUCUCAGAAGCAGCAUUAACGUCAUUUUGAAUCGCCUUUGAGAUCUCUUUUUGACUCUCCAUUUUAUCAUCCAAAAGUUGUAUUCGCUGUGUCAAAUGUACCUUUGCAGCAGAUAAAGCCUCAGAUACUUGCUCCAGAUGCUUCGUCAAGUUUGAAACAGCAUUUGCCAUACUCUGCUUUGUUACAUACAUAAGAUCUGAGAAUUUUAGACCCUUCCACCACAUGUAACCAUAACCCAAUGCCCCUAAGGCAGUAGCUGGAACUAUGAGACCAGUUAAGUUGCCUGCAUCAUGAAAAAGGAGAAAAUAGAACUCAACGAAGAAGAUGAUACCAAUUAUAAAUUAUGAGAAAAUGACUAGUCUGCAUUACAAGUGCAUACUGCAAUGCAUUUUUUGAGACAGGGAAAUGCACAUACAGCACUAGUUAUAUCCAAAAAGAAAAUAAAAUUGUACAAAGAACCAUUUAACUUAGAUGUGAAAGCAGAUACCCAUUUGGCCAGAACUCCCAUUGAGAACAGUUAUUUGCCUUGCUGAGGCCAGUUGCCGAACCUCCAUUGCCAAACGCUUCACCUGUUGAGCAAUGGCAUCACUGUAGUGAGAAUCACCAUCUGCAGAUUCCCCAGAUUUUUCCAGUCCCUUCACCAGCGACUGAAGUUCACCGAUCAGGUCAGAUAAUUUACCGUUUUUAAAGAGGACCGUACCGGUGAAUCCUGCAAACACAACCAGAAAAGUCAAAGCCAAAAAAGAACGCCAUGAAUACACAUACGUAAAUAAAGUACAGUGCGCAUCUAUACCUGCACCGGCGAGGACAAUGAUCCUGGAAAGGCCGAUUCCGGUUUGCAUAGCCAUGGCUAAGCAAGUGAAUCAGGAAACCUAGGAGAGGAUAAAGUUGAACACGCUUCUGUGCGAAGAAGAGGUAUAUGAUUCCUGUAGCUAUUGGGCCAGAUCAAGAUGGAAGUGGAUAUUGGGAUUCAGCUGGGCUUCACAAACCGACCUAGC